ensembl:lncRNA
CUGACAAAUUUAGCCUGCUGAUCCUCACUGUUGCACAGACUGAGGGCACCUGAUAUCACCAGCAUGAAAUUCCCCACCCUCUCCAGCCUGCUGUAUAUCCUGUUCCUCUGUUUGCUGGCCUUCUCUACAGAAGGUGUAAGACGAGUUAGCCACCAGAAAGUUCUCUGCUGCCAGAAUGCUCCACACUAUGCACUCAAGAGUUUGAAAGGGAGAAAUCCAAAAAUGGGACCACGCCACAAAUUUUGUAAAGGCAGAGUCAGUCGUCUUUGUAAGAGGAUCCCUGGGGCACUUCCUCAGAUAUAACCCACCAGAACUGGAGACCACAGAAGAAGGCAAAGACCAAGGGACCUUCUCUGACCUCCAAGUUAACAAUGCUGCUCUUUGGUUUCAAGCUGAAGCCCCUCACCCUUCAAAGGAGAUUCAUCCCUCUCCAAGCUGCAUCAUGCUGACAAAGAUCAUUCUUGGAUGAACUCCUGCACCUAACUCACAAAGGCCACCCAUUCAGUCAUUGACUCUCAAUCACCCUUUGGCCAGUUGUGUUUGUCCUGCCUAGGGAAAGCUUGAGACUGGAAGCUUCUAUAGCUGUCUGUGCCAAGGAUACACAGAUUAUAGUAUCUCUGUCCCUCUCUGGCAUUGUUACUUAACUGAUCCUGACCUCUUGUUCUUUAUACUUUAAGUUUGUCAUACAUGUAACUAAUGAAUAAAUUGCAGGUUUGAAACGCCUGUGUAGUUCCU